rnacentral:tRNA from 1 species
UACAUCGGCCGGGAAUCGAACCCCCGCGUGGCAGGCGAGCAUUUUACGACUUAAUCACCGAUGC